CCUCCAUCACUGCCAUCGCGAUCCUGCAGCUCCCCUCCCCCUGAGAGCCCAGCCCCCAGUGCCCCAGUCCCUUGCCCCCACCUCCCCAGUAUCCAGCGUCCCUUGGACAGACUCUGCCACUGUUGCCACAGCCACUUCUGCCGUCCCCAACGCCACCUCCUCAGGGCCAGCAAGAUGCAGUUUGAGAUGCACGACAACGUGAAAGGCAAAGCUAUGUCCUACCCUGUGACCAGUCAGCCCCAGUGCGCCACCACCAGCUGCUACCAGACCCAGCUCAGUGACUGGCACACAGGUCUCACGGACUGCUGCAACGACAUGCCUGUCUGUGAGUGCCUGCCUGCUCCCUCUCCAGGCCUGGUGGAAGAUGGGUUUGGGGGGAAUCAGGAGAGGGAAGCUCACCUCCAACCUCCUCCCACCGCUUGCUAACCCCACUCCCACCUCCCUUCCCUGGACUUGGAAUUCCCACUCUAACAGUCACCCUUUCCUCAGACCCCCAACACUCCUUAGGAUACUACCUCAUGCCUUCCCACACUCAACUUAUCAGGCCCUCAACCUCCCCUUUGCAUGCUCAGCUUUCCUCACUGUGACCCCCAACUCCCUCUUCAAACCCUAGCUCCUGGCCCAGUGCAGUGGCUCAUGCCUGUAAUCCCAACACUUUGGGAGGCCAAGGCAUGACAAUCCCUUGAGGCCAGGAAUUCAAGAUCAGCCUGGGCAACAUAAUGAGAUCCCCAUCUCUACAAAAAUAAAAAUAAAAAAUAGGUCGGGCGCAGUGGCUCACGCCUGUAAUCCCAGGACUUUGGGAGGCCAUGGCAGGUGGACCACAAGGUCAGGAGUUCAAGACCAGUCUGGCCAAGAUGGUGAAACCCCGUCUCUACUAAAAAUACAAAAAAAAAAACCGGGCGUGGUGGCGGGCGCCUGUAAACUCAGCUACUCGGGAGGCUGAGAAAGAGAAUUGAUUGAACCCGGGAGACAGAGGUUGCAGUGAGCCGAGAUCACGCCACUGCACUCCAGUCUGGGCAACAGAGCGAGAUUCCGUCUCAAAAAUAAAAAUAAAAAAUAAAAUUAGCCCGAGGUGGUGGCACACACCAGUAGUCCCAGCUACUCGGGAGGCCGAGGCGGGAGGAUUGCUUGAGCCCAGGAGGUCGAGGCUACAGUGAGACAUGUGAUCACACCACUGCACUCCAGCCUGGAUGACAGACCG
rnacentral:lncRNA from 10 species